GAUGAAGAACGCAGCGAAAUGCGAUAAGUAGUGUGAAUUGCAGAAUUCCGUGAAUCAUCAAAUCUUUGAACGCACAUUGCGCCUUCUGGUAUUCCGGAAGGCAUGCCUGUUCGAGAGUCAUUAACAACCGUUUCGAUCCCUUUCUUUCAGAAAUUACAAAGAGGAAAAGGGUUUGGUUAUGGUGGAGGAGGGAAAGGGAGCGUUUAGCCUGUAAAAAAAGAGGCUGUGUUCCGCCUCCCCCCCAAAAUUGUACAGGCGGUCGUGUGCGCCCACGCAUCGAGGUGUUGUAAAAGCUGCCACGGCACUUUUCACCUGUGCAGUGCGAGAUUGGCCAGCCGGUUUAAAAACCCCUCCAAACAAUCAAAGGUUGACCUCGGAUCAGGUAGGGAUACCCGCUGAACUUAAGCAUAUCAAUAAGCGGAGGA
rnacentral:misc_RNA from 1 species